UUUGGUUNUGGAAAGUUUUUUCGGUUGGGGAUGGGCUCGCGGCCUAUCAGUUUGUUGGUGAGGUAAUGGCUCACCAAGACGACGACGGGUAGCCGGCCUGAGAGGGCGACCGGCCACACUGGGACUGAGACACGGCCCAGACUCCUACGGGAGGCAGCAGUGGGGAAUAUUGCACAAUGGGGGAAACCCUGAUGCAGCGACGCAGCGUGCGGGAUGACGGCCUUCGGGUUGUAAACCGCUUUCAGCAGGGAAGAAGCCUUUAUCGGUGACGGUACCUGCAGAAGAAGUACCGGCUAACUACGUGCCAGCAGCCGCGGUAAUACGUAGGGUACAAGCGUUGUCCGGAAUUAUUGGGCGUAAAGAGCUCGUAGGUGGUUGGUCACGUCUGCUGUGGAAACGCAACGCUUAACGUUGCGCGUGCAGUGGGUACGGGCUGACUAGAGUGCAGUAGGGGAGUCUGGAAUUCCUGGUGUAGCGGUGAAAUGCGCAGAUAUCAGGAGGAACACCGGUGGCGAAGGCGGGACUCUGGGCUGUAACUGACACUGAGGAGCGAAAGCAUGGGGAGCGAACAGGAUUAGAUACCCUGGUAGUCCAUGCCGUAAACGUUGGGCACUAGGUGUGGGGGACAUUCCACGUUCUCCGCGCCGUAGCUAACGCAUUAAGUGCCCCGCCUGGGGAGUACGGUCGCAAGGCUAAAACUCAAAGGAAUUGACGGGGGCCCGCACAAGCGGCGGAGCAUGCGGAUUAAUUCGAUGCAACGCGAAGAACCUUACCAAGGCUUGACAUACACCAGACCGUUCUGGAAACAGUUCCUCCCCUUUGGGGUUGGUGUACAGGUGGUGCAUGGUUGUCGUCAGCUCGUGUCGUGAGAUGUUGGGUUAAGUCCCGCAACGAGCGCAACCCUCGUUCUAUGUUGCCAGCACGUGAUGGUGGGAACUCAUAGGAGACUGCCGGGGUCAACUCGGAGGAAGGUGGGGAUGACGUCAAAUCAUCAUGCCCUUUAUGUCUUGGGCUUCACGCAUGCUACAAUGGCUGGUACAGAGAGAUGCGAGACCGCGAGGUUUUAGCGAAUCCCUUAAAGCCAGUCUCAGUUCGGAUCGUAGUCUGCAAUUCGACUACGUGAAGUCGGAGUCGCUAGUAAUCGCAGAUCAGCAACG
rnacentral:rRNA from 1 species